rnacentral:tRNA from 1 species
GUCAGGAUGGCCGAGCGGUCUAAGGCGCUGCGUUCAGGUCGCAGUCCACUUCUUUGGCGUGGUUCGAAUCCCACUUCUGACA